UACGGAGGAUGCAAGCGUUAUCCGGAAUUAUUGGGCGUAAAGCGUCCGUAGGCGGAAGUUCAAGUCAGCUGUUAAAGCGUGAGGCUUAACCUCAUAAGGGCAGUUGAAACUGAGCAUCUAGAGUGCGAUAGGGGCAAGGGGAAUUCCCAGUGUGGCGGUGAAAUGCGUAGAUAUUGGGAAGAACACCGGUGGCGAAAGCGCCUUGCUGGGUCUGCACUGACACUGAGGGACGAAAGCUAGGGGAGCGAAAGGG
rnacentral:rRNA from 1 species